rnacentral:rRNA from 1 species
UACGAAGGGGGCGAGCGUUGUUCGGAAUUACUGGGCGUAAAGGGCGCGUAGGCGGCCGAUCAAGUUAGAUGUGAAAGUCCUGGGCUUAACCUGGGGACUGCAUUUGAUACUGAUUGGCUUGAAUUCGGGAGAGGAUAGCGGAAUUCCCAGUGUAGAGGUGAAAUUCGUAGAUAUUGGGAAGAACACCGGUGGCGAAGGCGGCUAUCUGGACCGACAUUGACGCUGAGGCGCGAAAGCGUGGGGAUCAAACAGG